ensembl:misc_RNA 7SK 7SK RNA
GGAUGGCUAGGGAUGAUCUGGCUGCAACAUCUGUCACCCCAUUGACCUCCAGGGUUGAUUCAGCUGACCUAACCGGCUAGGUUGGUGCCCCCUUCCUCCCUCACUGCUCCAUGUGUGUCCCUUCCGAAGCUGUGUUCUUGGUCCAAGAGGACGACCUUCCCAGAAUAGAGCAGGACUGGUCUUUGGUCAAGCAUAUACGAGUAGCUAUGCUCCCUUGCUAGAACCUCCAAACAAGCUCUAACUUUUUAAUGGUACUUACAGUCAUAAAUUGUGACCUUUAAAAUUGCUAUCACCUCUUUAGGCAGAAGAGUUGAAUGA